AUGGAGAGAUCUGUUGAUGCUGCUUUUUGUGGAAAUAAAACUAUUUGUUCAAGGAGUGGCCAUGGCUUAUGGCUCAAGGUUUCUGUAGGCGUCCCGGACUUCGUCCUGAAAAGCGCUGCUAUGUCACUCUACAGUGCAGGACCUUUCCAAAAGGAAGUUCCAAAGAAAAACAAGAUCGUAAAUGGUGUUCUGAACAUGCUCGGACUUCCAAAGGGUCCUGUUGAAGUGAAGCUCACUGAGGUGCCGACUGUGUCCAUCAGUCAGAAGAGUGGAGUCUCUGUCAGAGUGAAUGUCAGUGCCCAAUCUUUACUUCAAUCAAAGAAACCAUCUCUUCCUGUGAUGUGUGCAGCUAAUAUGAAGUUUAAAACUGAAGGAAACUAUCUGCAGCUCGUCAUUGAGGAUGCCAGAUGUAAAGUCAAACCUCAAACAGCAAAGGGGAAAAUGGCGAAGCCAGUUAUUAACUUAUUUCUGAAUGGACAUAUUCAAGGGUACAUUGAUAGUGAGUUAAAAGACACAUUACGGAUUCCUCUGCCUGAUGGAGUCAAUUUCAGUGAAUCAGAGAUCUGCUAUCAUGACGGCUACCUUCUGAUUGGAGGGAACUUCAGUUUAAGUCCUGCGUUGGUGCAGGAGAGGGUGAAGCUGCUGAUGUCACAGGUGAUCGAAAAACUUCAAACCUGA
rnacentral:lncRNA from 1 species